UUUACAUCUUUCAUCUUUCUC
rnacentral:piRNA from 1 species